GGGUUGUGAGGUUAAGCGACUAAGCGUACACGGUGGAUGCCCUGGCAGUCAGAGGCGAUGAAGGACGUGCUAAUCUGCGAUAAGCGCCGGUAAGGUGAUAUGAACCGUUAUAACCGGCGAUUUCCGAAUGGGGAAACCCAGUGUGACUCGUCACACUAUCAUUAACUGAAUCCAUAGGUUAAUGAGGCGAACCGGGGGAACUGAAACAUCUAAGUACCCCGAGGAAAAGAAAUCAACCGAGAUUCCCCCAGUAGCGGCGAGCGAACGGGGAGGAGCCCAGAGCCUGAAUCAGCAUGUGUGUUAGUGGAAGCGUCUGGAAAGGCGCGCGAUACAGGGUGACAGCCCCGUACACAAAAGCGCAUGUGCUGUGAGCUCGAUGAGUAGGGCGGGACACGUGGUAUCCUGUCUGAAUAUGGGGGGACCAUCCUCCAAGGCUAAAUACUCCUGACUGACCGAUAGUGAACCAGUACCGUGAGGGAAAGGCGAAAAGAACCCCGGCGAGGGGAGUGAAAAAGAACCUGAAACCGUGUACGUACAAGCAGUGGGAGCACAGGUUUACCUGUGUGACUGCGUACCUUUUGUAUAAUGGGUCAGCGACUUAUAUUCUGUAGCAAGGUUAACCGAAUAGGGGAGCCGGAGGGAAACCGAGUCUUAAUUGGGCGUUAAGUUGCAGGGUAUAGACCCGAAACCCGGUGAUCUAGCCAUGGGCAGGUUGAAGGUUGGGUAACACUAACUGGAGGACCGAACCGACUAAUGUUGAAAAAUUAGCGGAUGACCUGUGGCUGGGGGUGAAAGGCCAAUCAAACCGGGAGAUAGCUGGUUCUCCCCGAAAGCUAUUUAGGUAGCGCCUCGUGAAUUCAUCUCCGGGGGUAGAGCACUGUUUCGGCUAGGGGGCCAUCCCGGCUUACCAACCCGAUGCAAACUGCGAAUACCGGAGAAUGUUAUCACGGGAGACACACGGCGGGUGCUAACGUCCGUCGUGAAGAGGGAAACAACCCAGACCGCCAGCUAAGGUCCCAAAGUCAUGGUUAAGUGGGAAACGAUGUGGGAAGGCCCAGACAGCCAGGAUGUUGGCUUAGAAGCAGCCAUCAUUUAAAGAAAGCGUAAUAGCUCACUGGUCGAGUCGGCCUGCGCGGAAGAUGUAACGGGGCUAAACCAUGCACCGAAGCUGCGGCAGCGACGCUGAUGCGUUGUUGGGUAGGGGAGCGUUCUGUAAGCCUGUGAAGGUGGCCUGUGAGGGUUGCUGGAGGUAUCAGAAGUGCGAAUGCUGACAUAAGUAACGAUAAAGCGGGUGAAAAGCCCGCUCGCCGGAAGACCAAGGGUUCCUGUCCAACGUUAAUCGGGGCAGGGUGAGUCGACCCCUAAGGCGAGGCCGAAAGGCGUAGUCGAUGGGAAACGGGUUAAUAUUCCCGUACUUGGUGUUACUGCGAAGGGGGGACGGAGAAGGCUAUGUUGGCCGGGCGACGGUUGUCCCGGUUUAAGCGUGUAGGCUGGUUUUCCAGGCAAAUCCGGAAAAUCAAGGCUGAGGCGUGACGACGAGGCACUACGGUGCUGAAGCAACAAAUGCCCUGCUUCCAGGAAAAGCCUCUAAGCAUCAGGUAACACGAAAUCGUACCCCAAACCGACACAGGUGGUCAGGUAGAGAAUACCAAGGCGCUUGAGAGAACUCGGGUGAAGGAACUAGGCAAAAUGGUGCCGUAACUUCGGGAGAAGGCACGCUGACACGUAGGUGAAGUGAUUUACUCAUGGAGCUGAAGUCAGUCGAAGAUACCAGCUGGCUGCAACUGUUUAUUAAAAACACAGCACUGUGCAAACACGAAAGUGGACGUAUACGGUGUGACGCCUGCCCGGUGCCGGAAGGUUAAUUGAUGGGGUCAGCGCAAGCGAAGCUCCUGAUCGAAGCCCCGGUAAACGGCGGCCGUAACUAUAACGGUCCUAAGGUAGCGAAAUUCCUUGUCGGGUAAGUUCCGACCUGCACGAAUGGCGUAAUGAUGGCCAGGCUGUCUCCACCCGAGACUCAGUGAAAUUGAACUCGCUGUGAAGAUGCAGUGUACCCGCGGCAAGACGGAAAGACCCCGUGAACCUUUACUAUAGCUUGACACUGAACAUUGAGCCUUGAUGUGUAGGAUAGGUGGGAGGCUUUGAAGUGUGGACGCCAGUCUGCAUGGAGCCGACCUUGAAAUACCACCCUUUAAUGUUUGAUGUUCUAACGUGGACCCGUAAUCCGGGUUGCGGACAGUGUCUGGUGGGUAGUUUGACUGGGGCGGUCUCCUCCUAAAGAGUAACGGAGGAGCACGAAGGUUGGCUAAUCCUGGUCGGACAUCAGGAGGUUAGUGCAAUGGCAUAAGCCAGCUUGACUGCGAGCGUGACGGCGCGAGCAGGUGCGAAAGCAGGUCAUAGUGAUCCGGUGGUUCUGAAUGGAAGGGCCAUCGCUCAACGGAUAAAAGGUACUCCGGGGAUAACAGGCUGAUACCGCCCAAGAGUUCAUAUCGACGGCGGUGUUUGGCACCUCGAUGUCGGCUCAUCACAUCCUGGGGCUGAAGUAGGUCCCAAGGGUAUGGCUGUUCGCCAUUUAAAGUGGUACGCGAGCUGGGUUUAGAACGUCGUGAGACAGUUCGGUCCCUAUCUGCCGUGGGCGCUGGAGAACUGAGGGGGGCUGCUCCUAGUACGAGAGGACCGGAGUGGACGCAUCACUGGUGUUCGGGUUGUCAUGCCAAUGGCACUGCCCGGUAGCUAAAUGCGGAAGAGAUAAGUGCUGAAAGCAUCUAAGCACGAAACUUGCCCCGAGAUGAGUUCUCCCUGAGACUUAGAGUCUCCUGAAGGAACGUUGAAGACGACGACGUUGAUAGGCCGGGUGUGUAAGCGCAGCGAUGCGUUGAGCUAACCGGUACUAAUGAACCGUGAGGCUUAACCUUACAACGCCAAAG
rnacentral:rRNA from 1 species